rnacentral:rRNA from 1 species
AUGGCAACCUGGGUGGAGGCGACACUGGUCGGCGACGACCUGGACUGGGCAGAGCAUACAGAUGCCAUCCGAGCCCAGCUGGUGCGUGCCCAGCACCGCUUCAAGAAGCAGGCGGACAAGCACCGCGUCGAGCGCUCAUUCCAAGUGGGAGAACAGGUCUUGCUGAAACUGCAGCCUUAUGUGCAACACUCCGUGGUCUCGCGCCCAUGCGCCAAGCUCGCCUACAAGUUCUUCGGCCCCUACACCGUGCUUGAGAAGAUUGGACCUCUGGCUUACAAGCUGGAUCUGCCGCUAGACAGCCGCGUGCACCCGGUCUUCCACGUCUCCCAGCUGAAGCCAUUCACGCCGGACUACUCACCGAUUUUCGCUGAGCUUCCCCGAGUCCAACACCUGUCUGCGUCGACGACAGAGCCCGUCAAGAUCCUGGAGAGGCGUAUGAUGAAGCAUGGCGACGCGCCCGUGGUGCAGCUCAAGAUACAAUGGUCAUCGUCGUCCCCGGACUCGGCCACCUGGGAGGACUACGACGUGCUACGCCGGCGUUUUCCCACGGCACCCAUUUGGGAGGGGGAGGCCUCUUCUUAA